AGAGUUUGAUCCUGGCUCAGGAUGAACGCUGGCGGCGUGCCUAAUACAUGCAAGUCGAGCGAACGGACGAGAAGCUUGCUUCUCUGAUGUUAGCGGCGGACGGGUGAGUAACACGUGGAUAACCUACCUAUAAGACUGGGAUAACUUCGGGAAACCGGAGCUAAUACCGGAUAAUAUUUUGAACCGCAUGGUUCAAAAGUGAAAGACGGUCUUGCUGUCACUUAUAGAUGGAUCCGCGCUGCAUUAGCUAGUUGGUAAGGUAACGGCUUACCAAGGCAACGAUGCAUAGCCGACCUGAGAGGGUGAUCGGCCACACUGGAACUGAGACACGGUCCAGACUCCUACGGGAGGCAGCAGUAGGGAAUCUUCCGCAAUGGGCGAAAGCCUGACGGAGCAACGCCGCGUGAGUGAUGAAGGUCUUCGGAUCGUAAAACUCUGUUAUUAGGGAAGAACAUAUGUGUAAGUAACUGUGCACAUCUUGACGGUACCUAAUCAGAAAGCCACGGCUAACUACGUGCCAGCAGCCGCGGUAAUACGUAGGUGGCAAGCGUUAUCCGGAAUUAUUGGGCGUAAAGCGCGCGUAGGCGGUUUUUUAAGUCUGAUGUGAAAGCCCACGGCUCAACCGUGGAGGGUCAUUGGAAACUGGAAAACUUGAGUGCAGAAGAGGAAAGUGGAAUUCCAUGUGUAGCGGUGAAAUGCGCAGAGAUAUGGAGGAACACCAGUGGCGAAGGCGACUUUCUGGUCUGUAACUGACGCUGAUGUGCGAAAGCGUGGGGAUCAAACAGGAUUAGAUACCCUGGUAGUCCACGCCGUAAACGAUGAGUGCUAAGUGUUAGGGGGUUUCCGCCCCUUAGUGCUGCAGCUAACGCAUUAAGCACUCCGCCUGGGGAGUACGACCGCAAGGUUGAAACUCAAAGGAAUUGACGGGGACCCGCACAAGCGGUGGAGCAUGUGGUUUAAUUCGAAGCAACGCGAAGAACCUUACCAAAUCUUGACAUCCUUUGACAACUCUAGAGAUAGAGCCUUCCCCUUCGGGGGACAAAGUGACAGGUGGUGCAUGGUUGUCGUCAGCUCGUGUCGUGAGAUGUUGGGUUAAGUCCCGCAACGAGCGCAACCCUUAAGCUUAGUUGCCAUCAUUAAGUUGGGCACUCUAAGUUGACUGCCGGUGACAAACCGGAGGAAGGUGGGGAUGACGUCAAAUCAUCAUGCCCCUUAUGAUUUGGGCUACACACGUGCUACAAUGGACAAUACAAAGGGCAGCGAAACCGCGAGGUCAAGCAAAUCCCAUAAAGUUGUUCUCAGUUCGGAUUGUAGUCUGCAACUCGACUACAUGAAGCUGGAAUCGCUAGUAAUCGUAGAUCAGCAUGCUACGGUGAAUACGUUCCCGGGUCUUGUACACACCGCCCGUCACACCACGAGAGUUUGUAACACCCGAAGCCGGUGGAGUAACCUUUUAGGAGCUAGCCGUCGAAGGUGGGACAAA
rnacentral:rRNA from 2 species